rnacentral:lncRNA from 1 species
AGUUCCACAGGGAGAGAACUGAGUAAGGAGACCUGACUUCCUCUGUGUGCAGGAAAGGCAGCUAUGAAGGAAGACUGACCUCUUUGUGAAGAUCUUUCUAAAAUAUCCAUCUCCGCAUCAGUUAGAAGGUUGUGGUCAACAUGAGAGCCUUCCUUAUGGAGCUAAGAUUGCUGCUGAAGCUCAUAAGUACCACAUCCUUACACAACGGAAUUCACAAGGGGAACAAGAUGGAUUUGGAGAAUGCGGUAGCAAGAUGAUUUUCUUGUUCUACCUUUAAAAAGGAAGAAAAUCAAGAGACUAUGGUAUCUGGCAAGUCAAAUGAAGAAUAUGUAUCAGAGUGAAAGAAAUGCUCAACUGUGUCCAUUGUCAAGGCUGAUUGGCCACAAAAGGGUAAAGAAAGACUGAGUACUGGAUUUGGCAAUCUGCAGACCUAUGAUGACCUUGAGCAGUUUCAAAGGAGUAAUGGGGACAAAAUGAGAUGGGUUUAAGUGAAAAUAGAGGAGAGAAAUUGGAGAAAGUAAGUAAGUCUUUGACAGGGUUUUGGUGUGAAGAAGAGCUUCCAAUAUUAUUUCUAACCCAAUAAGCUUUUGACUGCAUGCCCCUCAAUAUAUUACUUUCAAAGAGAAGGGUAUUUUUCUACUGGGUCUGUCACAUUCCUGUAACUACUCUAAUGAGCCUAACUCAUUACCACCUUAUGGAAUCUAUAGGUAUUACAAAAAUGAGUGUUUUUUUUGUUUUGUUUU